UACGAGGGGUGCAAGCGUUGCUCGGAAUUAUUGGGCGUAAAGGGCAGGUAGGUGGUCUCAUUUGUCUGGGGUGAAAGCCCGGAGCUUAACUCCGGAAGUGCCCCAGAAACGGUGAGACUCGAGUACUGGAGAGGGUCGUGGAAUUCCCGGUGUAGCGGUGAAAUGCGUAGAGAUCCGGAAGAACACCGGUGGCGAAGGCGGUCUGCUGGGCAGUAGCUGACACUGAGGCGCGACAGCGUGGGGAGCAAACAGG
rnacentral:rRNA from 1 species